CCGAGUUUACAACUCCCAAACCCCUGUGAACAUACCUAUCGUUGCUUCGGCGGGAUCGCCCCGGCUCCCUCGGGACCGGACCCAGGCGCCCGCCGGAGGACCCAAACUCUUGUAUUAUUUAUGUAUCUUCUGAGUAAACAAGCAAAUAAAUUA
rnacentral:misc_RNA from 1 species